UACGUAGGGGGGCAAGCGUUGUCCGGAUUCAUUGGGCGUAAAGAGCGUGUAGGCGGCCAGGUAGGUCGGUUGUGAAAACUGGAGGCUCAACCUUCAGAGGUCGACCGAAACCAUCUGGCUAGAGUCCGGAAGAGGAGAGUGGAAUUCCUGGUGUAGCGGUGAAAUGCGCAGAUAUCAGGAAGAACACCCGUGGCGAAGGCGGCUCUCUGGGACGGUACUGACGCUGAGACGCGAAAGCGUGGGGAGCGAACAGG
rnacentral:rRNA from 1 species